CGGUGUUUAACUGGCGUGAUGUGGGACGUCCUACCGGUGGGCUUAGCCUCGCGAGGGGCGGCCCAACUAAUAUCCCGUCGCGGUGCUCUUUACUGAGUGUCGAGUCGGGCCGGUACGUUUACUUUGAACAAAUUAGAGUGCUUAAAGCAGGCUAUCCUCGCCUGAAUACUGCGUGCAUGGAAUAAUGGAAUAGGACCUCGGUUCUAUUUUGUUGGUUUUCGGAACCCCGAGGUAAUGAUUAAUAGGGACAGAUGGGGGCAUUCGUAUUGCGACGUUAGAGGUGAAAUUCUUGGAUCGUCGCAAGACGGACAGAAGCGAAAGCAUUUGCCAAAAAUGUUUUCAUUAAUCAAGAACGAAAGUUAGAGGUUCGAAGGCGAUCAGAUACCGCCCUAGUUCUAACCAUAAACGAUGCCAGCUAGCGAUCCGCCGAAGUUCCUCCGAUGACUCGGCGGGCAGCUUCCGGGAAACCAAAGCUUUUGGGUUCCGGGGGAAGUAUGGUUGCAAAGCUGAAACUUAAAGGAAUUGACGGAAGGGCACCACCAGGAGUGGAGCCUGCGGCUUAAUUUGACUCAACACGGGAAACCUCACCAGGCCCAGACACCGGAAGGAUUGACAGAUUGAUAGCUCUUUCUUGAUUCGGUGGGUGGUGGUGCAUGGCCGUUCUUAGUUGGUGGAGCGAUUUGUCUGGUUAAUUCCGAUAACGAACGAGACUCUAGCCUGCUAAAUAGGCGUACCUUAUGGUAUCGCGAAGGCCCCCGGCUUCGGCCGGUGGGUUUUUACUACCAACGUACAAACAAAUCCUCUUAGAGGGACAGGCGG
rnacentral:rRNA from 1 species